UACGUAGGCAGCGAGCGUUGCUCGGAAUUAUUGGGCGUAAAGCGCACGUAGGCGGUUCGUUAAGUCGGAUGUGAAGCCCUCGGCUCAACUGAGGAAGUGCACCCGAAACUGGCGAGCUUGAGUACGAAAGAGGAUCGCGGAAUUCCCGGUGUAGAGGUGAAAUUCGUAGAUAUCGGAGGAACACCGGUGGCGAAGGCGGCGAUCUGGGUCGAUACUGACGCUGAGGUGCGAAAGCGUGGGGAGCAACAGGAGUUAG
rnacentral:rRNA from 1 species